GCGGCUUUGAUCUAGUGGUAUGAUUCAACCUUCCCAAGGUUGCCGCGUGGGUUCGAUUCCCGCAAGCCGCA
rnacentral:tRNA from 1 species